rnacentral:rRNA from 1 species
AACGAACGCUGGCGGCAGGCCUAACACAUGCAAGUCGAACGCCGUAGCAAUACGGAGUGGCAGACGGGUGAGUAACGCGUGGGACCUUCCCAAUGGUACGGAAUAGCUCAGGGAAACUUGGGGUAAUACCGUAUAAGCCCGAGAGGGGAAAGUAUUUAUCGCCAUUGGAUGGGCCCGCGUAGGAUUAGCUAGUUGGUGAGGUAACGGCUCACCAAGGCGACGAUCCUUAGCUGGUCUGAGAGGACGACCAGCCACACUGGGACUGAGACACGGCCCAGACUCCUACGGGAGGCAGCAGUGGGGAAUAUUGGACAAUGGGCGCAAGCCUGAUCCAGCCAUGCCGCGUGAGUGAUGAAGGCCCUUAGGGGUUGUAAAGGCUCUUUUUGGGCGGGGACGAU